rnacentral:rRNA from 1 species
CAAUAGCGUAUAUUAAAGUUGUUGCAGUUAAAAAGCUCGUAGUUGGAUUUCUGGCAGGUUCUCGAAGUCCGCUUGUUGCGUGUGCUGAGAGACCCUACCAUCCUUCUGUUAACUCUUCACGGCAUUCACUUGCCGGUUGAGGGCUCAGAUAUUUUACCUUGAGAAAAUUAGAGUGUUUCAGGCAGGCUUGCGCCGGAAUACAUUAGCAUGGAAUAAUAGAAUAGGACUUUGGCCUCUUCUGUUGGUCUGAGGGGUUAAAGUAAUGAUUAAUAGGGAUAGUUGGGGGCAUUAGUACUUAACUGUCAGAGGUGAAAUUCUCGGAUUUGUUAAAGACUAACUUAUGCGAAAGCAUUUGCCAAGGAUGUUUUCAUUAAUCAAGAACGAAAGUUAGGGGAUCAAAGACGAUUAGAUACCAU